CUGGCACUGCAGCAAAGCCUCUGCCUGGUGUGCCCCUGGUCCUGCCCACCACAGGUUCCAUUGCACCUGGCAGAGAGCAAGUGUUGAAAGUCUCUUAUUUGCCAGGAAAGCUAGGAGUCUUCUGCAGGACUUUCCAGAUUCAAGUGGCUCAUCUGGAACCUGCAGAAAUCCACCUGAAAGGAGAGGGGACCUUUCCUGGGAUUACCAUGGACCUACCCUGCAUGUUGAAAGGAAACGAAAAAUAUGAGAAGAUACUGAAAGAGAGAGCACAAAACAUGGGAGUACACACAAAGGGCAGUGCACCAUCUUUUCCAUUGGACAUUAUAGACUGGGAGGAGAUACUGCAAGAGGAAGAAGAAAACCUGGAGGAAGAAGAAAGGCCGAGCAGUGAAUCAUCUUAUCUGCAGUCUUCUGUGAUCAUGGGGUCAUCCAUGGGGUCAUCCAGGAAGCGUUCCAUGAAGUCAUCCAUAAAAUCACCAAGAGGACAGGAUCUUUAAUAAGCAGAUGCAUUAGGGUCUUGUCAAGUGAGUAGGGACUCCCAUCCCCAUGUCCAGGUGCCCUGUGGGUAACAUCCAGCAGUGCCCCCUGCUCCUGGGAGCUCCUUGUGUCUGCAGGGCUGGGAAUAGCCUGGACUUCAGAAAAGAUCUGGUCCUGGUGGCUGUGACACACUCUCUGUGAGCAGCUGAGAGCCCACCCUUCCCCAGCAGCAUGCUGAACCUGGCUCUGCUCAGCUUCCCACAGCUGUGGGAUUCUGUUCCUAGAGCUCAGGGUGUCCAGUGCAGAGCAUCAAGGCCUUACAGGCAGCACAGACACCAUCCCUGCUGACAGCUCCAAGCUGUCUUGGUUCCAGCUAACAGAGCAUGCUGAGCAAAAGGAAUCACACAGAUCCACAAACCCUUGGGAAGUUGGAGGAGCAGCAGCUGUGCGGUCAGACCACACGUCAGGACUUUAUCUCCAGACAUGACUGGAUCUUAGUUGGAUCUGCAGUCAGAGGCACCAGGAACCUGCUGGGGCAAGCAAGGAGCUCAGGUGACACAGGGGGAGGGUGACACGAGCCUUUCAGCCAGGUGCAAGGGAACCCUGCAGGGGAUGGGAGAGGAGGGAGGGAAUUCAUCAGAGGUUUGAUGGGGAUGGCUUAGGGGACAGACAGGCUGAGAAGACAGGUUCUCAUCUAGAAGAAAACAUCAGACCACAUCACUUUCUAACUUCCUUGUGCCCAAAAGCUCGAGCCUCCAAGCCUGGGGUGCAGUGUGUCCUCCUGAGGUCUCUCAAGGCCACAGCCCCAGCAGAGCCUGAUGUGAGCACAGCUUUGCUGCUAGCGGGAGUAGCCCUCUGCCAGCAAGGGCCACACUGAGCAAAUGAAAGCUCUUUUGCCAGCUGCUUUAUAAAUAAAUC